GGGCCGCACGCGCGCUACACUGAUGAAGGCAACAAGUAAUUCACCUUGGCCGGAAGGUCUGGGUAAUCUUUUGAAACUUCAUCGUGCUGGGGAUUGUCCAUUGCAAUUAUUGGACAUCAACGAGGAAUUCCUAGUAAGCGUGAGUCAUCAGCUCGCGUUGAUUACGUCCCUGCCCUUUGUACACACCGCCCGUCGCUACUACCGAUUGAAUGGCUUAGUGAGUCCUCCGGAUUGGAAACUAUGUUCCGGCAACGGCACGCAGCUUUCGAGAAGUUGGGCAAACUUGGUCAUUUAGAGGAAGUAAAAGUCGUAACAAGGUAACCGUAGGUGAACCUGCGGUUGGAUCAUUAAUAAUUCUGCUUUAGGAGAUGAGGUGUCUUGGUCAGCGCARGUAGAGAUGAAUUGUGACGGAUUGACCAAUGCCAACCAUGCCACACUUCUGUGUGGGAUUGUUGUGUGAACAGUGCCACACUUUUGUGUGGGAUUGAUCGUGACCAGUGCCACACUUUUGUGUGGGAUUGAUCGUGAACAGUGCCACACUUUUGUGUGGGAUUGAUUCGUGCGUUGCAACCAAUCCGAGCAUUGCCACCAACCUGCGCCCAUCAAGUUCUCGGAAUCCAAAGUCAACCCACAUCUUGUGAAACGUCACGUCUCUGGCGGGAGGGUAGCGCAAGCUACUUGUCAGCAUGUGCUUCUUUCGAGUUGCAUGUGCCGUGGACAGCCCGUCAAACACUUCUAAACUAUUUGUUUUUAUUAUUUUGUCUGACAUUUCUUGUAUAAAUAUACAAAACAACUUUUGGCAACGGAUCUCUUGGCUCUCGCAACGAUGAAGAACGCAGCGAAAUGCGAUAAGUAGUGUGAAUUGCAGAAUUCAGUGAAUCAUCGAAUCUUUGAACGCACAUUGCGCUUCCUGGUAUUCCAGGGAGCAUGCUCGUUUCAGAAUCAUUAGAAACCUCACAAGCUUUCUGUGCUUAAACGCACGGGUUGCAAGUGGAUUUGAGCGCAUUGUCAUUGCAUGAUGGCAAUCGCUUUAAAAUGAUUGUGUGUGUACGCCGAUUGACGGUCGGAAUAACUCUCAGUGCAACAGAUAAAAAUGAAACACUUUGGGUUGCUUCCGGUAUGCUGCUCAUUGUCUUACACACUUCCAAUUCUACACAGUAUUGAUGGCAAGUUUUGCUAUCAAUUCUGACAACUUGGUCUGAAAUCGAGCAAGAAAACCCGCUGAACUUAAGCAUAUCAAUAAGCGGAGGAAAAGAAACUAACAAGGAUUCCCCUAGUAACGGCGAGUGAAGCGGGAAUAGCUCAAAUUUGAAAUCUCAUAGGUUUUCCUGUGCGAAUUGUAGUUUAAAGAAACGUUUUCGGAGUUGGCUUGGGUAUAAGUCCUUUGGAAGAAGGCAUCGUAGAGGGUGAGAAUCCCGUUUAUGACCCAAUGUCCAGCUCUAUGUGAUACGUUUUCUAAGAGUCAGGUAGUUUGGGAUUGCUGCCUAAAAUGGGUGGUAAAUACCAUCUAAAGCUAAAUAUUGGCGAGAGACCGAUAGCGAACAAGUACCGUGAGGGAAAGAUGAAAAGAACUUUGAAAAGAGAGUUAAACAGUACGUGAAAUUGCCAAAAGGGAAACGCUUGGAACCAGUAUUGUCUGCAUGUAAUCAGCUACACGUUCUGAAAGGGUCUCGUGUGGUGCACUUGCUUGCGGACAGGCCAACAUCAGUUUGGUUUGGGGUAAAAAGCCGGAGAAAGGUAGCUUGGAUUCGUUCAAGUGUUAUAGUCUCCGGUCAUGCCUUGGACUGGACUGAGGUCUGCAGCGUUAUUUGGAUACCCGAUUGCCUCUUGAACCAUCUUCGAUCGACAGCUUGCUGACUUUAGGAGUGUCUAGGGAGCCCAGUCGGUUCAUCACACCAGCGCUUAGGA
rnacentral:rRNA from 1 species